rnacentral:tRNA from 1 species
GGUGGGUUGUUUCAGUGGUUAGAGCCUUGGUCUCUUAACCGAAAGGUUCGCUGGAUCGAAUCCCGCUAGAGGCUG